UACGUAGGGGGCAAGCGUUGUCCGGAAUCAUUGGGCGUAAAGCGCGCGUAGGCGGCCCGGUAAGUCCGCUGUAAAAGUCCAGGGCUCAACCCUGGAACGCCGGUGGAUACUGUCGGGCUAGAGUCCGGAAGAGGCGAGUGGAAUUCCUGGUGUAGCGGUGGAAUGCGCAGAUAUCAGGAGGAACACCGAUGGCGAAGGCAGCACGCUGGGACGGUACUGACGCUGAGGCGCGAAAGCGUGGGGAGCGAACAGG
rnacentral:rRNA from 1 species